rnacentral:rRNA from 1 species
AAUGAACGCUGGCGGCGUGCUUAACACAUGCAAGUCGAACGAGAAAGGGAUUGCUUGCAAUCCUGAGUAGAGUGGCGCACGGGUGAGUAACACGUAGAUAAUCUACCCUCAAGCCCGGGAUAACUAUUCGAAAGGAUGGCUAAUACCGGAUGAAGUGGUUUAACACAAGUUAAAUUAUGAAAGAUUGCCUCUUCUUGAAAGCAAUUGUUUGGGGAUGAGUCUGCGGACCAUUAGCUUGUUGGUGGGGUAAAGGCCUACCAAGGCUGCGAUGGUUAGCUGGUCUGAGAGGAUGAUCAGUCACACUGGAACUGGAACACGGUCCAG